rnacentral:misc_RNA from 1 species
CGCACAUUGCGCCCCCUGGUAUUCCGGAGGGCAUGCCUGUCCGAGCGUCAUUGCAACCCUCAAGCGUCUGCUUGGUCUUGGGGCUUCACCGACUGGUGUCCCCGAAAAACAGAGGCGGUUCAGCGAGACACUGAGCGUAGUAGAACUUUCGCUUUAGCUGUCCCGGUGGGACUUGCCAGCCUAUUUUCUCAUGGUUUGACCUCGGAUCAGACAAGGAUACCCGCUGAACUUAA